rnacentral:rRNA from 1 species
AUUGAACGCUGGCGGCAGGCUUAACACAUGCAAGUCGAGCGGAGAUGAGGUGCUUGCACCUUAUCUUAGCGGCGGACGGGUGAGUAAUGCUUAGGAAUCUGCCUAUUAGUGGGGGACAACAUUCCGAAAGGAAUGCUAAUACCGCAUACGCCCUACGGGGGAAAGCAGGGGAUCUUCGGACCUUGCGCUAAUAGAUGAGCCUAAGUCGGAUUAGCUAGUUGGUGGGGUAAAGGCCUACCAAGGCGACGAUCUGUAGCGGGUCGGAGAGGAUGAUCCGCCACACUGGGACUGAGGCACGGCCCAGACUCCUACGGGAGGCAGCAGUGGGGAAUAUUGGACAAUGGGCGGAAGCCUGAUCCAGCCAUGCCGCGUGUGUGAAGAAGGCCUUUUGGUUGUAAAGCACUUUAAGCGAGGAGGAGGCUACUUAGAUUAAUACUCUAGGAUAGUGGACGUUACUCGCAGAAUAAGCACCGGCUAACUCUGUGCCAGCAGCCGCCGUAAAAC